rnacentral:rRNA from 1 species
UCGAGCGGUAACAGGUCCUUCGGGAUGCUGACGAGCGGCGGACGGGUGAGUAAUGCUUAGGAAUCUGCCUGGUAGUGGGGGAUAGCCCGGGGAAACCCGGAUUAAUACCGCGUACGCCCUUCGGGGGAAAGCAGGGGAUCUUCGGACCUUGCGCUAUCGGAUGAGCCUAAGCCGGAUUAGCUAGUUGGUAGGGUAAAGGCCUACCAAGGCGACGAUCCGUAGCUGGUCUGAGAGGAUGAUCAGCCACAUCGGGACUGAGACACGGCCCGAACUCCUACGGGAGGCAGCAGUGGGGAAUAUUGGACAAUGGGGGCAACCCUGAUCCAGCCAUGCCGCGUGUGUGAAGAAGGCUUUCGGGUUGUAAAGCACUUUCAGUGAGGAGGAAGGCCUUAAGGUUAAUACCCUUGAGGAUUGACGUUACUCACAGAAGAAGCACCGGCUAACUCCGUGCCAGCAGCCGCGGUAAUACGGAGGGUGCAAGCGUUAAUCGGAAUUACUGGGCGUAAAGCGCGCGUAGGUGGUUUGAUAAGCGAGAUGUGAAAGCCCCGGGCUUAACCUGGGAACGGCAUUUCGAACUGUCAGGCUAGAGUGUGGUAGAGGGUAGUGGAAUUUCCUGUGUAGCGGUGAAAUGCGUAGAUAUAGGAAGGAACACCAGUGGCGAAGGCGGCUACCUGGACCAACACUGACACUGAGGUGCG